CCCAUUUCCUCCGUCCCUCGCGCUCUCUCUGUGUCUCUCUCUCUGCCCCCCCAACUCCCUCUCUUCCCGAUCAAAAAAAAAAAAAAGAAAUAAAAGAAAAUAAUUGGAUCUUUGUUCUAUUUUUUCUGUAGAUUGAAUGGAAUCCGAUUACAUUCUGUCCAGAGAUCCUCAGAACAUAGUGGCAUAGAAGGUCAGAGGUCUGUCAGAGACAUCUUAUGGAUCCUAUUCAUGGGGAUUCAAGAAGCAAGCAUACAUACGAUGAACAAAGGCAUCCUGGUCUGGGAAACAAACCAGAAAUAAAGAAAGUAACUCCUAGCUCAUCUUCUGAUGGGGAAUCAUUUGAAGAAGGUUUCUUCCAACUAGAUGCAGCUGAACUCGACAAAUCAUUUCUGCAAAUCACUGAGAUUGCCAGUGAUAAAUUAGCCUCACAAUCCAAGACUCAAAAUGGCAAAGUUAAUGAUACCAAUGAUGUUGGGAUGAGUGAUAACUUGGACAUGUUUGGACGAAAUCAUUCUCCCCCACUUCAGGUGAUGGGGAGGUCAGAUGUCCCCGACCCAAAUAUAGUUCCAUCUUCCAUGUUCACAAGGACUACGUCCUCAGCAAUAGACGGGAGCGUGGUUUCAAAUGAAUCUUUGUUCAGCAUCCAAAUGGGGAAUUCUAGCUUCUCUAGGGACCAUGUUUUCUUGACAGGCAGGUCCAGAGAUCUGACCAACUUCCCCAUGGACCCGCCAAGUGCAGCAGAGGCAGCAAAUGCUGCAGCCAUGCAGGGUGUCUUGAGGGUAAAUGCAGAGAAAGUUGGUGGUAAAGACAAGCAUCCAGCUGGGGAUAUGCAUCAUUCUGCUAGCAUAUCUAACCUCUUCGACAGCAGAAUGGCUAGUUUCCAAUCUUUUACAUUUGCAGAGUAUGCUCUCUUCUGCCUUCUUUAUAGACAAGAUUUUCAAUGACCAUCUUGCUGCCUUUUGCUAGCAAAAUUCACAAAUUCAAAAGCAGAUAAAAACAUAAGGGAAAGUAAAUUAGGCUACAAAUGUGGUAACAUGAUACUGAUUUUUUAAGUUUGAAAGUUUGAAAGAUAGGAAAUGUGUCAUUAGUGGAAGGAUUAUCAUUGUGGUCAAUGGUGUAAUGUUUAAAUUGACAGAUGGAAGAAGUGGAUCAGUUAAGGUAGGACCUGUGAACCAACCGCGGCACUGGGAGCAGGCACAGCAGCGUCCACCACAAACCAAGACCACAAAAGCAACUCCUGCUGCCAAGUGUUUUCCAUGCUUUUCUUGUUCAUUCUGUUCUUGAGGGAGUGUUUCUGAUCAACAAUAUCGUGAGGGAUACUCUGCCACUCACUAAGGAGAUGAAGUUUCUGUGGUUUGGAGUCUGGACAGAAAAGUAUACAUGAUUACAGAGGAACAGGAGAAGGCAUGCAUUUCUUUUAGUGGUUGAGAAGAACUGCAUCCAAUAUAGUCUUGUUUUCAGUAUUGUAAUGCUAAUGUUAGGCUCAGGUACUCAUCUCUAGGGUCUAAUGUUUUCUUUUCAGAGAAAGUUACAGAUUUAAGUCCUGCAUUUGCUUUUGAUAUCAUUACAACUUGAAAAGUACAUUUGUUUCUGAGGACUAACAUUGUCUGAGAUAAAGCAAGGUAACAAAGCAUUUGUUGGAUCAA